CGGGAUGUGGCUCAGCUUGGCAGAGCACCUGGUUUGGGACCAGGGGGUCGCAGGUUCGAAUCCUGUCAUCCCGA
rnacentral:tRNA from 1 species